rnacentral:lncRNA from 1 species
AGAAUAUUUUAUUAUUAAAAAUCAAGUCCUAAUUUUAUAAAACUAAUUAUUUUUUUUCAGAAUAUCUUGUACCCUAGCAUUGAAAAACAUAAUUAAUAUUUAUUUUAUUGAAUCUAAGCUAGUUCCGCCAUUAAAACUUAACCUGAAUGUUGCCAGGUAGACGACAGACUAUAUCAUUUAAAUGAACGAGGUGAUCGAUUGAAAAUAUCGAUAAAAUAUAUUUCUAUUUAAGUCACUAAAAGUGCCAAGAUGAAGUUACAAUAGUCAGUAAAAGUCUGACAAUAUUUUACACUCCACCCAAGGGAGGGGUUGCCAAUCCGAUGAUUUUAGCUCACCAAAAAACAAUUAUGUUGUGUUUUGGCGUCGGAGCUGGAUCCGCCCUUGAUGGUCAAACCAAGACUUUUCACUUUAAAAAAAAUGUGGGCGGUCUCUGUCUUGUAGCGAAGAAUUAGGUUGCAAAAUAACAUUUUUCUCUUAUAUCAAAAUGUACAAGUAUAAAUAUUAAGUAUGCACUCGUAAAUAGUGAAGAAGAAAAGAAGAAAGAAAAACUGUUUAUAACUGUUGCACAAACAAUAAAAUAUCAACACUAACAAAAGUCACCACUAAACUAUAUCUAUAAAACGGUUACACCUAACACCAUACAUGGAAUACAACAAUAACACAAUAAUUAGUAAAUGAUAUUAUUUAUAAUAAAUCGAUUUAGGAAAUCGAUUAACAAAAUAUUUAACAUGGUAACAUCAACUCGGAACGCGAGUCUAUCUGUCAAAUCAAUACGUCAUUCAAAUUGUUUUCGUGCCGGUUGUUAUCAUGUUGUUAUGCGUAGAGUUGAAUUUAUUCCUCCGUAUUUGCUUCUGAUCGUUACAAUUUGCGUAAAAACUGUCGAGCUGAUCGUUUUCGUGCUUCCAGUGGUUUUUUUUUAGAUAUUGGACUCUUUUCCUAGUGAUAAGUGAGCACAUUGACUCGUGAGCAUUGGACUCUUGUUUUUAGUGAUAUUGUUGUUUUACUCCGGAAAAAUGUCUGCACCUGGUAGAAGUCGAGUAAACUACUCUUUGUCUCGCCGGUGUGUUAAUUGCUCUUUACGUAUAGCGCCUAAUCUUCGUAGACGUUAAAUUGAAGAAAUAGAUGAACCAAUGCUUAUCCUUCUAAGAUCCUGGGUAACACCUACAUUGAUAUCUUCUGAUGAUAUCCUGUGUGUGAAAUGUUUUGUAUUAUUACAAAACCAGACAGCAUCUAACUCAAAUCUGUCACUUGUAUCCCCUGCUUGUGGACACCUAAACAUAUGCUACGCAUGUGGCUUGUCAAUACAAGUCUUGGAACUCAUAGAGUCAGUCGAGAUUGUCCUCAAAGGAAUGUUAUACUAAGAUGGACACCAGCACAUCACGUGUUGCAUUUGGAACGAGUUUGUCUUCCUUGUUGGGCGGCUGCAUCAAGACAAGUCCGGAGGCCACCCGUUGCUGUCAGUAGCCAACACACUGUGGAGUCUGCACCGGAGACUGGUAUUAUGGAUGGAAAAAUAAUUUCAGAUAUGAUGAUUCCUGUACCACCAUCACUGCCACCGCUUUAAUGAUAUAAGCGCUCCAGCACAAUUUCUAGACAACAUAUUCCUUAAAGAAUAAAUGUCUAUUAUUUUAA